rnacentral:rRNA from 1 species
CCUACGGGAGGCUGCAGUGAGGAAUAUUGGUCAAUGGCCGGAAGGCUGAACCAGCCAAGUAGCGUGCAGGAUGACGGCCCUACGGGUUGUAAACUGCUUUUAUACGGGAAUAACGCGCCUUACGUGUGGUUCUUUGCAUGUACCGGAUGAAAAAGCAUCGGCUAAUUCCGUGCCAGCAGCCGCGGUAAUACGGAGGGUGCGGGCGUUAUCCGGAUUUAUUGGGUUAAAAGGGGGCGCAGGCGGAGGUGCAAGUCUGCGGUAAAAUUGCGGGGCUCAACCCCGUCCUGCCGUGGAAACUUCAGUCCUUGAGUGCGCGAAAAGCAGGCGGAAUGCGUGGUGUAGCGGUGAAAUGCAUAGAUAUGACGAAGAACCCCGAUUGCGAAGGCAGCAUGCUGCAGCGCAACUGACGCUGAUGCACGAAAGCGCGGGUAUCGAACAGGAUUAGAUACCCGUGUAGUC